rnacentral:rRNA from 1 species
GACGAAGGGGGCUAGCGUUGUUCGGAAUUACUGGGCGUAAAGCGCGUGUAGGCGGUUGUCCAAGUUGGAUGUGAAAGCCUUGAGCUUAACUCAAGAAAUGCACUCGGUACUGGGUGACUAGAGGACCGGAGAGGAUAGUGGAAUUCCCAGUGUAGUGGUGAAAUACGUAGAGAUUGGGAAGAACACCAGUGGCGAAGGCGGCUAUCUGGACGGUUUCUGACGCUAAGACGCGAAAGCGUGGGGAGCAAACAGG